rnacentral:lncRNA from 1 species
UGCUUUGCACAAUAACGGCUGGCAGCUGGAUUCCCAGUUCAGUUCUUCAAGUGAACUAGUAUUUUGUAGUUUAGUGUGAAGGACAAUAGACCUUUCAGGGUCCCAGAGAGAGCCUAUACUGUAUAAAGAACCACUGGAGAAUGUCCUCUGGUCUGAAAAUAUAUACCAAUUGACUUCUGGGUUGUCCUAGGAGUCUUUAUUAAAUUUAAUUUCUAUUAAAAUGUUUGGGGAGCCAGCUCUUGGGAAUACUAAUCAAUAUUAGUUGAACAGUCCCAUGAUGAAUCUUACAUGCACCUUAUUGAUCUGGAAUGAAGGUAAUUUUCUUUUACCUGACAUCUUGUCUGUCUCCUGGCAAGCUCUCCGUUGGCCUCCAUGUGUUCAACCUCACCAGCAUUUUGAGACUCAAGUCAGCAUGGGAGCAGAGAGCGGGCGGGAAGUCACACCAUCCUGAGGAGAAGAUUAAGGCACUGCAGAUAUUGAGAAAGCCACUUGAGGUCACAGUCUGCACAAGAGGGAACAUGUCACCCAGGGGUGGAGGAAGUACAAAGAGGCAUUCAACUGGCACACCAGUCCGAAGGCGACAAGGCGUUGGGUACCGCUCAGACGACUUCGUCCGAGGAUGCGUGUCCAUCACAUCACAGAAAGCAAAAGCUACAAGCAGAGAACUCCGUGUGUACUUUCAUAAUCCUUUCCAAAGAAAAGCCUGCAGCCUCAGGAGAUCUCGAGGCCACAAUGGAUACCGCGAAGGCUUCAGUGUGUGCGGAGAGAGAGGAGCAUCUACAUGAAAUUUGAGGGCGGGUGAUCCCAUCUUGCACUCUGCCAGGGUCUUUCUUGUUCCAUUUCUGCCUGAUUUUCAAUAAGAUUAUAUUCUUAGGAGGACUAGAAAAGGAGGAGGAAGAGGAAGAGUAGGAGGAAGAAGAGGAAGAAGAGGAAAAAGAGGAGGACACAGCUGGGAGAACAAGAAAUUAUUUAAACGGUUGUGUGUAUCUGUGCAUGUUAGUACAGGUGUCAGUGGAGACCAGAAGAGCACACUGGAUCUCUUGGAGCAGGAGUUACAGAUGGUUGUGAACUUUAAAUUCAACUGAAGUCCUUUGGAAGAACAGAGCAUGCUCCUGGCUACCUAGCCAUCUUUCUACCCCUGAGACGAGUGCUUUCUUGAAAACAACUUCUACUGGACAUAAGGCCUCCUCUGUCAGUCCUCAAGAACCUGACCAGAGCUGCACCCCUGUGCCUGUCAUUAGGGAGCUUGCUUAGCAGCAGAGGAAUCCUAGUCCUUCACACCUCUGGUGUGAAGUCCUACUGUGCCAAGUGGGCUUCCUAGGAGCAGUUUCUAGCCAAGUCUCCAUAUGCUUGGUGGGCGGGUGUGGAAACCCGGGUAAGGCUUGGCAGGAGAUCUGCAGAGGGAGCUGUUACAACCCAAACAGUCACUGUGUGCACAAUGCUUCACUCACACGUCUCUUCCAUAUGCCUGGAACCAGUUACUGGAAACUGCAAGACUCUGUGCAACCCCUCAAAAUGACAGAGAAAGUGCCUGGGACUCACGGGACAACUUGGUCUAAUGUCUCCUAGGCAUCCUAAAAGCCACUGAGUAUUUAAAUUAUCAUACAGAGGGAAAUAUACCCAGGUCAGUCCUUCCACUAUUGGACUGAAAUAAAGAUUUUUGGUUGCCCGACUUCUUAGCAUUCAGGACUUGCUCUGGAUGUGACAACUCUCUUUCCUUCUGAUGAGUUUCCAGUCCAACGUCAGAUGCGGUCUGGAAGGAAGCAUUUCUCACAAGCCAAGUGUGAGGACACGUGCUCCGUGCGAGCCACAGCCUUUGGACUCCAUUCUGGACUUUGACUGCUGCGUGGAGUAAGGCUGGAACUAGAGAGAUGUCACUGUGCUGACUCACACUGCACAUGCUCCCAGACAGUGAGCGGGAUCCCCACUGAGGAGUGCAAGGCUCAAGCUGAUAGAACCUGGCCACUGGCUCUGCAGUGGAAGAGAAGGUAGCAAGGACAACCACAGGAGCCCCCCUCCCCAGUUCUUCGGGGUCUGCCUCUCUCUCCCCUCCCUGCUGUGGACCACCUCUGUUGCCUGCUGCCAAGGAGCCCUCCUGCCAGCCCAGCUUUCUUUGCUCCAUCCUCCAGAGCCCUAGAUUCCUGGGUCUCACCCACAGUAGAUGCUGGGCCAGAUUUUCCCUGCCUCUGUUGACUUCCGUCCCUGGGCACUCUGUGCAGCUACGUGUGAAUGGAUGAGUGUAAGAGAGAGGACCCAGGAGGCAAAGAGAGAAAUGAGCGUAUGAAGGGCCGAGUGCUUAGCUGAUGAACACUGAACUUCUGAGACUUAAAAUAUUCCAGAAUGUUCUCCCCUUCAGCUGGACGAUGUUACUAUAGGAUCUUUAGACCCUUUGAGAAAAUGAGAAUAUUCCUAUUGUGAACCUAUUGUGUCAUUUGGGUGUUUCUUCCUAAUGCUUAGCAAAGAGAGCAUUAGUUGGAGCUCUGGCUCAGCAACAAGCACAUUGGGUGCUCUUGGAGAAGACCCCAUUCAGUUUCUAGCACCUAUGUGCUGGCUUACAACCAUUUCCAGUCCAGGGGAGUCUGACGCCCUCUCCUGGCUUCUGUGUGAUGCAUAGACAAACAUGGGUAAAACACCCAUGUGCAUAAAGUGAAAUGGAAAGGAAAAAAAAGACCAGGUAAAGAGGCCUGGGAAGAUGUCAGCAGGUAGAGUUUGCUGAGCCUCAGACUUCUGAUCUCAGAAUCCAUGUAAAACCUGAGCUUGGCAGUGUGUGUUUGUAACCAGCCAACGGCUUACCAGAGACUGGCAGAACCUGGGGGCUCGCUGGCCAUACUGUCUAACUGAAAUGAUAGUCUCCAAGUUAAUCAAGAGACUUAGUCUUAAAAAUAAGGUGGAGAGUGAGAGACGAUGACACCUGAUGACCUCUGGCCUCCACAUGUGUGUCCAUAGUACAUAGGUUUCAACUUCCUCUUUUGCACCUGAAGCCAUACAAGAGCAUCCCCAGAAUGGAGAGUAAAGGGACCUGGCAGGACCUGGAGGGGCUUCCUGCCUGACCAUUCCGCAUCAGCCUGCAUCUGACCCUGUCCCCUGGCUAAGGAGAAGCACCUGUCCCUUCUGGAACAGGCAGCUCUCCAGUGAAAGCUGAAAGAGCUCUGUCAAAAUUAGGCCUGGAAUAGAAAAAAGAUGGGGUUCUGGGAAGAAGAGAGGAAGCUGGCUAACCCGGGUGUGGAGAGCCUUUUGGGGUGCCGCUUGGCAGGGAUCUGACAUUGGCCAAGGACAAGGAAUUGGGCUGCUUGGCAGGAAUCUGACAUUAGGGCAUGGCAAAGAAGACAGUUCAGGCAGGGACCUGACGUUGGCCAAGGACAAGGAAGUAAGAAUCUGGUUUUAGGGUAGAACAAAGAAGUAGGCUCUGAUAUCUGGAUCAUCCUUAGAAACAGCAUCAGUGGAGAGAUCAGGGGACUUGGUGUGUAUUGUCUUGCUUGUUACUUGACUAUUUAUUGUCUCGCUUGAUUCCUCAUUGUACUACUCAACACUUGCAUGUAAUUAAAAUGGUAUAAAAGCAGACAGGAAAAAAAUUAAACCGGCCUUUAGUCUCAGAAGUGACUGAGGUCAUGCUA